AUGAACGCUGGCGGCGUGCCUAAUACAUGCAAGUCGAGCGAACAGACGAGGAGCUUGCUCCUCUGACGUUAGCGGCGGACGGGUGAGUAACACGUGGAUAACCUACCUAUAAGACUGGGAUAACUUCGGGAAACCGGAGCUAAUACCGGAUAAUAUAUUGAACCGCAUGGUUCAAUAGUGAAAGACGGUUUUGCUGUCACUUAUAGAUGGAUCCGCGCCGCAUUAGCUAGUUGGUAAGGUAACGGCUUACCAAGGCGACGAUGCGUAGCCGACCUGUGAGGGUGAUCGGCCACACUGGAACUGAGACACGGUCCAGACUCCUACGGGAGGCAGCAGUAGGGAAUCUUCCGCAAUGGGCGAAAGCCUGACGGAGCAACGCCGCGUGAGUGAUGAAGGUCUUCGGAUCGUAAAACUCUGUUAUUAGGGAAGAACAAAUGUGUAAGUAACUAUGCACGUCUUGACGGUACCUAAUCAGAAAGCCACGGCUAACUACGU
rnacentral:rRNA from 1 species